CUUAGGCGGCUUAAGCCUGCCCUGUGGAACAUCCCUGCGGGGGACUUUGACCAGACCAGCCCAAGCGACGCAGAUCCUGAGAGCGUUUCUGGGUAGGCCCUUGCCCUGUUGGGACGCCUCGCCAGAACAGUGUGUGGCAGGUCCCCAUGGAGGAUCAACAUGGUUGGCUGAACACCAGGAAGGAACGGGCACUUGGAGUCUGGACAUCUAAAACUUGAGCAUCCCUGCGGGGGACUCCGGCCAGCUUGAGUGAUGCGGAUCCUAAGAGCGCUCCCUGGUAGGCAUUUGCCCCGGUGGAACGCCUCACCAGAGCAGCGCACAGCAGGCCCCCACAGAGGAUCAAUGCAGUGGCUGAACACCAGGAAGGAACCGGCACUUUAAGUCUGGACAUCUGAAACUUGUUGCAGGUGUUGUGUCUUGGAUCCAUCACAGUCAGCUAACACUGGCAGCUCAGGACAAAUGGACCAGCCAGCAGGAUGCAGAUCAUCCAACCCGGCUGAUCCUGAGACGAGACCAAGCUGCUGCUGAAGACGACAGCCCUGCUCUGGUCACUCCGGAGGCUGAUCAGUCUAUGCACCGCUGAAGUUUGAGGAGACAACAAGCCCUGCUCUAGUCACACACUGGCAGCUGACUAGUCUAUGUAUGGCCGAAGCUUGAGGAUUCAUCAAGCAAGUAAAUGUAGUUAAAAAUCUUAAGACUAAUAGUUUUCCUGUAAUACUAACUGUUUUCCUAUUGUUCGGUCGCUGUAUUCAACCUUUUUCCCAGGUAAGGACCUCUUUUGUCCUUGCUGGAUAUGAAUAUGCUGUACAUUUUUUUGUUGUUACCCCCCAUAACCAUGCUAGAAGAAACACCUAUAUAAGGUGUCCCCACUGUACACAUACUACUUAGGAAACCCAGACCUGUCCAGCCCAGUAGCAAUUCUGAGUCUUUCAAUCAUUCUUUAAACAUAUAAACCAAAAGUUACCAGAACCUCCUCGUUUAGCAAAAACAGAAAAAAACUAUUUGCUCAGGUGGCUGAAAACAUUGCUAGCUGCCUAGAUGCUUCUUCAUGUUAUGUUUAUAAAAAGGCUAACAUAAGAGACCAAUGGCCUUGAGAAGAAAAAGAGUUAAUGCCUCAAGAUAACUUUAACUAACUCUUUCCCCAAACAGACGCCACAAGUUCAAGCAUCUGGCUCUUAAAACUUCUAUUAUUAAAAAAUACUGUGUUACUCACUAGGAAAAAGCUUUCAAGACCCAGUAAAAAAAACUAACCUGCUUAAGACAUGACAAAUUUGGUACGUGUGCAUAUACAGGUUUAACACAGGUUUGAUCCUAGAUGUUCAUUUAGAAAAUAGUUUCCAGCUGUAAGAAAAUUUAAAACCCUCAUUGUAAGUGUAUUACUAGUAAUAGGAACUUGCUUGCUGCUCGCCUGUAUAUUAUACUUGCUCCUUCAAAUGAUAAAAGGUUUUGUAUCUACCAUGGUUCAUCAGAAAACUUCAACACAAGUGUAUUACAUAAAACACUAUCACUCUGUCUCACAAAAAGACUCAAAAAGUAAAAAUAAAAGUGAGAACUCCCACUGAUUAGUGAAAAUUCUGAAAGGGGGAGAUAAGGAAGGAGACCACUACUACUUCUGCUGCCCCCUUCUCCCCACCUUGCCUAGUUCACAAGACAGGAAGAGAGAAAAAGCAAAAAGUUGGAAAAAAAACAAAAGUAAGAUAAAUAGCCAGACAACACUUGGCACCACCACCCGGCACUAGGAGUUAAAAAAAGUAAUAAUGAUAACAUCAACCCCUGACCUAAACUACUUGUGUUAUCUGUAAAUUCCAGACACUGUAUGAAAAAAAGCAUUGUAAAACUUUUUGUUCUGUUAGCUGAUGCAUGUAGCCCCCAAUCACAUUUCCCAUGCUUGCUUGAUGUAUCACGACCCUUUCACGUGGACCUCUUAAAUUUGCAAGCCUUUAAAAAUGCCAAGAAUUUCUUUUUUGGGGAGCUCGGCUCUUAAGACGUGAGUCUGCCAAUGCUCC